AAGUCCAGUGCCAUUUAUUUUUAUAAUCAAACUAGACCGAUCCUCAGUAAACGAGCCAUUAAAACACCAAAAAUGUGUACUUGCCUUCAAGUAGCAGAACUAUGUUCAAUGAACAUUACAAAGAAGUCUUAGCAUAUUGAAUCUCAUGCCAAGGAUAUUAAAAAUAUAAAUAUAUUUCGUAACAAUGACCGCAAUCUCC